rnacentral:rRNA from 1 species
GACAGAGGGUGCAAGCGUUGUCCGGAAUUAUUGGGCGUAAAGGGCUCGUAGGCGGUCUGUUGCGUCAGGAGUGAAAACUCGGGGCUUAACCCCGAGCCUGCUUCUGAUACGGGCAGACUAGAGGUAUGCAGGGGAGAACGGAAUUCCUGGUGUAGCGGUGAAAUGCGCAGAUAUCAGGAGGAACACCGGUGGCGAAGGCGGUUCUCUGGGCAUUACCUGACGCUGAGGAGCGAAAGUGUGGGGAGCGAACAGG